rfam:Triticum aestivum genome assembly, contig: Triticum_aestivum_CS42_TGACv1_scaffold_578151_7BL
GAAGUACUUCCUCCGUUCGAAAACGCUUCUCCCAACCUUGUUUCUCAAAUGGAUGUAUCUAGCACUAAUUUGGUGCUAGAUACAUUCAUUUGAGGGGCAAGUUUUUUCGGACGGAGGGAGUAAUAA